GUCAGCAUGCCUCGAAGAUCAAGAAUGA
rnacentral:sRNA from 1 species